rnacentral:rRNA from 1 species
UACAGAGGUCUCAAGCGUUGUUCGGAUUCAUUGGGCGUAAAGGGCUCGUAGGCGGCUUGGCAAGUCGGGUGUGAAAACUCCAGGCUCAACCUGGAGACGCCACCCGAUACUGCCAUGGCUAGAGUCCGGUAGGGGACCACGGAAUUCCUGGUGUAGCGGUGAAAUGCGCAGAUAUCAGGAGGAACGCCGGUGGCGAAGGCGGUGGUCUGGGCCGGAACUGACGCUGAGGAGCGAAAGCGUGGGGAGCGAACAGG